rnacentral:rRNA from 1 species
AUUGAACGCUGGCGGCAUGCCUUACACAUGCAAGUCGAACGGUAACAGGUUAAGCUGACGAGUGGCGAACGGGUGAGUAAUGUAUCGGAACGUGCCCAGUCGCGGGGGAUAACUGCUCGAAAGAGCAGCUAAUACCGCAUACGACCUGAGGGUGAAAGCGGGGGAUCGCAAGACCUCGCGCGAUUGGAGCGGCCGAUAUCAGAUUAGGUAGUUGGUGAGGUAAAGGCUCACCAAGCCGACGAUCUGUAGCUGGUCUGAGAGGACGACCAGCCACACUGGGACUGAGACACGGCCCAGACUCCUACGGGAGGCAGCAGUGGGGAAUUUUGGACAAUGGGCGCAAGCCUGAUCCAGCCAUGCCGCGUGCGGGAAGAAGGCCUUCGGGUUGUAAACCGCUUUUGUCAGGGAAGAGAAGGUUCUGGCUAAUACCUGGGACUCAUGACGGUACCUGAAGAAUAAGCACCGGCUAACUACGUGCCAGCCGCCGCCGUAAUAC